rnacentral:rRNA from 1 species
UACGUAGGGUGCAAGCGUUAUCCGGAAUUAUUGGGCGUAAAGAGCUCGUAGGCGGUUUGUCGCGUCUGCUGUGAAAACUGGAGGCUCAACCUCCAGCCUGCAGUGGGUACGGGCAGACUAGAGUGCGGUAGGGGAGAUUGGAAUUCCUGGUGUAGCGGUGGAAUGCGCAGAUAUCAGGAGGAACACCGGUGGCGAAGGCGGGUCUCUGGGCAACAACUGACGCUGAGGAGCGAAAGCGUGGGGAGCGAACAGG